rnacentral:rRNA from 1 species
UACGUAGGGUGCGAGCGUUGUCCGGAAUUAUUGGGCGUAAAGAGCUCGUAGGCGGUGUGUCGCGUCGGCCGUGAAAACCUGGGGCUCAACUCUGGGCGUGCGGUCGAUACGGGCAUCACUGGAGUUCGGCAGGGGAGACUGGAAUUCCUGGUGUAGCGGUGAAAUGCGCAGAUAUCAGGAGGAACACCGGUGGCGAAGGCGGGUCUCUGGGCCGAUACUGACGCUGAGGAGCGAAAGCAUGGUAGCGAACAGG